rnacentral:rRNA from 1 species
UACGGAGGGUGCAAGCGUUAUCCGGAUUCACUGGGUUUAAAGGGUGCGUAGGUGGGCUAGUAAGUCAGUGGUGAAAUCUCCGGGCUUAACCCGGAAACUGCCAUUGAUACUAUUAGUCUUGAAUACCAUGGAGGUGAGCGGAAUAUGUCAUGUAGCGGUGAAAUGCUUAGAUAUGACAUAGAACACCAAUUGCGAAGGCAGCUCGCUACGCGGUUAUUGACACUGAGGCACGAAAGCGUGGGGAGCAAACAGGG